ensembl:lncRNA
GGAGGAUUACCACGGCAAGCUGUAAACCGAAGCAUCAAGCCGGCUGCUCCACCACCCCAAGGCCUGAUCACUGGGACCCGGGAGAAGUCGGACUGAAACAAAAGAGGAGCCUGAGGGCGGCGGCGGAGGACUCAGAACAGUCUAGCACCCAAGGCCAACACAGAAGCUGGCUGAGGCAGGCCCUCUGUGCCUGCGAGGGCAGUGUCCUUGGCCAUGUGUCCUGGGAGAGAAAAAAGCGGGUCUUAGAGUGGGCCUUAGAGUCUUAGGAGCUCUUAGACUUCCCUGCUGGCUCAGACGGUAAAGCGUCUGUCUACAAUGCAGGAGACCUGGGUUCGAUCCCUGGGUCGGGAAGUUCCCUGGAAAAGGAAAAUGCAACCCACUCCAGUACUCUUGCCUAGAAAAUCCCAUGGACAGAGGAGCCUGGUGUCCAUGGGAUUGCAAAGAGUCGGACACGACUGAGCUACUUCACAUUCUUUAGAGC